rnacentral:rRNA from 1 species
UACGUAGGGGGCAAGCGUUGUCCGGAAUCAUUGGGCGUAAAGGGCGCGUAGGCGGAUCGGCAAGUCCGGAGUGAAAUCCCGCCGCUCAACGGCGGGGCUGCUUUGGAAACUGCAGGUCUAGGGAGCGGUAGAGGUCGGUAGAAUUCCCGGUGUAGCGGUGGAAUGCGUAGAGAUCGGGAAGAAUACCCGUGGCGAAGGCGGCCGACUGGGCCGUCUCCGACGCUGAUGCGCGAAAGCGUGGGGAGCAAACAGG